CCGGGGGGCGGGGGUGCUAUACAUGCAAGUAGAACGCUGAGGUUUGGUGUUUACACUAGACUGAUGAGUUGCGAACGGGUGAGUAACGCGUAGGUAACCUGCCUCAUAGCGGGGGAUAACUAUUGGAAACGAUAGCUAAUACCGCAUAAGAGUAAUUAACACAUGUUAGUUAUUUAAAAGGAGCAAUUGCUUCACUGUGAGAUGGACCUGCGUUGUAUUAGCUAGUUGGUGAGGUAAAGGCUCACCAAGGCGAACCGAUAACAUAGCCCGACCUGAGAAGGGUGAUCGGYCACACUGGRACUGAGACACGGCYCAGACUCCUACGGGAGGCAGCAGUAGGGAAUCUUCGKCAAUGGACGGAAGUCUGAYCGAGCAWCGCCGCGUGAGUGAMGAASGUUUUCGGAUCGUAAAGCUCUGUUGUUAGAGAAGAACGUUGGUAGGAGUGGAAAAUCUACCAAGUGACGGUAACUAACCAGAAAGGGACGGCUAACUACGUGCCAGCAGCCGCGGUAAUACGUAGGUCCCGAGCGUUGUCCGGAUUUAUUGGGCGUAAAGCGAGCGCAGGCGGUUCUUUAAGUCUGAAGUUAAAGGCAGUGGCUUAACCAUUGUACGCUUUGGAAACUGGAGGACUUGAGUGCAGAAGGGGAGAGUGGAAUUCCAUGUGUAGCGGUGAAAUGCGUAGAUAUAUGGAGGAACACCGGUGGCGAAAGCGGCUCUCUGGUCUGUAACUGACGCUGAGGCUCGAAAGCGUGGGGAGCAAACAGGAUUAGAUACCCUGGUAGUCCACGCCGUAAACGAUGAGUGCUAGGUGUUAGGCCCUUUCCGGGGCUUAGUGCCGCAGCUAACGCAUUAAGCACUCCGCCUGGGGAGUACGACCGCAAGGUUGAAACUCAAAGGAAUUGACGGGGGCCCGCACAAGCGGUGGAGCAUGUGGUUUAAUUCGAAGCAACGCGAAGAACCUUACCAGGUCUUGACAUCCUUCUGACCGGCCUAGAGAUAGGCUUUCUCUUCGGAGCAGAAGUGACAGGUGRUGCAUGGYUGUCGUCAGCUCGUGUCGUGAGAUGUUKGGKUAAGUCCCGCAACGAGCGCAACCCCUAUYGUUAGUUGCCAUCAWUAAGUUGGGCACUCUAGCGAGACUGCCGGUAAUAAACCGGAGRAAGGUGKGKAUGACGUCWAAUCAUCAUGCCCCUUAUGACCUGGSCUACACCACGUGCUACAAUGGUUGGUACAACGAGUCGCAAGCCGGUGACGGCAAGCUAAUCUCUUAAAGCCAAUCUCAGUUCGGAUUGUAGGCUGCAACUCGCCUACAUGAAGUCGGAAUCGCUAGUAAUCGCGGAUCAGCACGCCGCGGUGAAUACGUUCCCGGGCCUUGUACACACCGCCCGUCACACCACGAGAGUUUGUAACACCCGAAGUCGGUGAGGUAACCUUUUAGGAGCCAGCCGCCUAAGUGCAUAAUU
rnacentral:rRNA from 1 species